rnacentral:rRNA from 1 species
AUUGAACGCUGGCGGCAGGCCUAACACAUGCAAGUCGAACGAGUGGCGGACGGGUGAGUAAUGUCUUGGAAACUGCCCGAUGGCGGGGGAUAACUACUGGAAACGGUCGCUAAUACCGCAUACCAUCGGAUGUGCCCCGAUGUGAUUAGCUAGUAGGUGGGGUAACGGCUCACCUAGACGACGAUCCCUAGCUGGUCUGAGAGGAUGACCAGCCACACUGGAACUGAGACACGGUCCAGACUCCUACGGGAGGCAGCAGUGGGGAAUAUUGCACAAUGGGCGCAAGCCUGAUACAGCCAUGCCGCGUGUAUGAAGAAGGCCUUCGGGUUGUAAAGUACUUUCAGCGGGGAGGCGUUACCCGCAGAAGAAGCACCGGCUAACUCCGUGCCAGCAGCCGCGGUAAUUC